rnacentral:piRNA from 1 species
AGAUCAGGAUUCUGAGCCUGUUGGCUGUCA